CUUCCUCAGCGUCCAUUCAUGAACGUCUAUCUUACUCUUUUAGAGUUUGUCUACAGUGUGUGGAUCAGCCCUCAGUCACCAGCACAGAAAUGUUUCAUCCAGGCCUUUGGCAAAGAUAGUGGUGAGGUUAUGACAUUUGAGCUGCUGGGAGCCAUUAUGUCACCAUGAGUGAAGAGCCUGCCAACAGAGCCCAAACAAGGGAAAACAGAACUAAGAGACAGAGAAUACGAAAUCCUGAUGACAUGCUGAAGGGAAGAUCCAGGACCAUUUUCCCUGUAUGUGAAACCUGACUGUUGUUUCUGCCAAUGAAAUGCCUCUGUCUGCUCAUUUACUAAGCUCAGGAGUUGGCUUGCUUAAGCUUGAG
rnacentral:lncRNA from 1 species